rnacentral:rRNA from 1 species
AUUGAACGCUGGCGGCAUGCCUUACACAUGCAAGUCGAACGGUAACAGGUCUUCGGACGCUGACGAGUGGCGAACGGGUGAGUAGUACAUCGGAACGUGCCUAUUAGUGGGGGAUAACUACUCGAAAGAGUGGCUAAUACCGCAUGAGAUCUACGGAUGAAAGCAGGGGAUCGCAAGACCUUGUGCUACUAGAGCGGCCGAUGGCAGAUUAGGUAGUUGGUGGGAUAAAAGCUUACCAAGCCGACGAUCUGUAGCUGGUCUGAGAGGACGAUCAGCCACACGGGGACUGAGACACGGCCCAGACUCCUACGGGUGGCAGCAGUGGGGAAUUUUGGACAAUGGGCGAAAGCCUGAUCCAGCAAUGCCGCGUGCAGGAUGAAGGCCUUCGGGUUGUAAACUGCUUUUGUACGGAACGAAAAGCCCCGGGUUAAUACCCUGGGGUCAUGACGGUACCGUAAGAAUAAGCACCGGCUAACUACGUGCCAGCCGCCGCCGUAA